rnacentral:rRNA from 1 species
UACGUAGGGUGCAAGCGUUAAUCGGAAUUACUGGGCGUAAAGCGUGCGCAGGCGGUUUUUCAAGACAGAUGUGAAAUCCCCGGGCUUAACCUGGGAAUUGCAUUUGUGACUGCACGGCUAGAGUGUGUCAGAGGGGGGUAGAAUUCCACGUGUAGCAGUGAAAUGCGUAGAGAUGUGGAGGAACACCGAUGGCGAAGGCAGCCCCCUGGGCCAAAACUGACGCUCAGGCACGAAAGCGUGGGGAGCAAACAGG